GAGUGAAGCCUGAAGCCGAAGCCGUGUUUUGAGGUCUCUCUUUAGGCGGCCGCUUUUUCUGUUUUUGUUUUGAGCCCUCUCUCCCAGCUCUCUCAGUUGCAGCAGCAGCAGCGGCAGCAACAGAAGCAGCGCAGCAGCGUCAGCGGCUUGUUUGGCGGGUGCCUUACUAAUUCCCAUCCCCAAUAUCGAAUUCCCAGAAGUUUCCAAUGCCAGUUGCCUGAAUGAAUAUUAAAAUGCCUCUUUCGAAGCGCUCUUUUCAGGGUUUUCGAACAUCACUCAUACGCACUGUUGUUUACAACUUGUUUCGAGGGUCAAUCGGAAUACGUGACUAAGGGGGGAACUUAUCUAGAAGCUACUAAAUGUCCAUGGAUCAAUUAAGUCGAGUCAUCGAGGAAAUCAUGCCCUCCUAAGUGUGCGCGCUCGAGAGAGGGAGACAAAAACUUGGCCAAGUGCAGUAGGCCAUGCAAAUAGCCAAAGUGGGUCAGCUAUCAAAAGCUAUAUCAACAUCAACUAUGGCUGCCACCACACAAAAAACCGAAAAAAACAAAAAACGAACAAAAAAGCUUCGUCGUCACUUCUUCGGAUCUUUUCGGAUUUCGGUAUCAGCUCAGGGUAUUAUAGUAUAUACUAUGCCAGAUAAGCCGACGCGGCGACAAAAAAC
rnacentral:sRNA from 1 species